UACGAGAGGCCCAAACGUUAUUCGGAAUUACUGGGCUUAAAGAGUUCGUAGGCGGCAUUGCAAGUAGGGUGUGAAAGCCCUCGGCUCAACCGAGGAAUUGCGCUCUAAACUGCAGUGCUUGAGGACCUAGAGGUGAGCAGAACAGAUGGUGGAGCGGUGAAAUGCGUUGAUAUCAUCUGGAAUACCGGAGGCGAAGGCGGCUCACUGGACCACAACUGACGCUGAGGCGCGAAAGCUAGGGGGAGCAAACAGG
rnacentral:rRNA from 1 species